AUUCAACCCCGUGGGAACUCCCCAUCAGACUGUUGAAAGACCUGAUUACCAAAGACCACGAUGCUAUUCUCAUAUGGUGGUUCUAGUGGCGGGUGCCAUUAUGGACGUGAAUGUCAUCAUUGGAAGUAUUGUCACCAUGGAUACUACUGUGACUACAGAUACCACUAUUGGGGUUGCUGCGUGAAGUAUGGUCAUGGUGGGUAUGGUGAUUAUCCCAAAUACUGUUCAAGACAAAUCAUCGAGAAAUGACGAUCAGCUUUAGAGAUCUCAGUCAUCUUCCUGUCUGAUAUUAAAGACAUGAAUAUAA